AACACAUGGUUGCUCACAUUGACCAGGCUGUAAACGUGCUGGAAGAUGGACAACGAGUGAAAACGAGAUGCCACAGCUCCAAGGGAUCGAACAAGGCGUGGCACAAGUUGUUCCUCUUCAGGGCCAGCGGUGUGGGUAUCCAUUCGCUGCGUUCCCAGCGGAAUACAUCCACCUGCAGGACAAUCGGACGGUUGGGCAAGUCCAUCAACACCCUGAUAUCGCCAUUGAAGUAGAGGGUCUCCAGAUCCUUGGCCAUAUUGAAUGUCAAAUUGCUAAUGUCGAUAAUCUGUUGCAUCGGCGUAUUGCCCCUAUCCUCUGCAGCAUUGCACUUGAUAUUCAGGGUCGUGUCAUCGCCUAGUACCUCGUAGUUCAUGCCCUAAAUGAAAAUGUAUUAUUUGAGACAACUAAAUGAUUCAAUGCUUUUAUACCUGUGUCCCUUGCAGGGAUUGCAGAAUGCAAAGCAAGCCAAUAAUCCAGCCGAUGCACUGCUCCAUUUGGUGGUUUUUGAAGAUCACCCGUGGUUGCAACAAUUUAUACGGGGCGCUGCUAAUUGCUCGCCAAUUAGCCUACGAUAUUCGCAUUGUUUAACUAAUUGCCAAAUUAAGUUGUACACAGAUUGUUUAAUUGCCGAUGCAGAUACUCAAAAAUGCCAUUCAGAUUCACCGAUCGUAGCACCCUCGAAAACAUUUUGGAAAAAAACGGUGUAGAGAACACUGAAAACAACAACGAAAGCGGACCAAUUCGGCAUGCGGCGGGCGUAAUCCGGAAGGUCGGAGCCCGGAUUCGUCCGGAAGUGGGUCGUCCGUCUCAAUGGAACACCCAUGCACAUCUCAUACACCCACAUCACGCAUACGUCGUGUGCGCCUGCGGGACAACGAGUGUACACACUACGAGUAGCCAAUAAAAAUAAGCAAACGCACUUGACCCUGGACAACCGACAACCGACAACCGAGCGACAAGCGACUUGGGCUUGGCUCGCCGAUUCUGUUUGUAGGCCAUGGCUGCCGUAAAAUAGCAAAUCGGGCCGACACACGACGCCCGUUAUCCAUGUUAUCCAAGUUAUCCGAUAACGGAGCGCCUCUUCGUAAGGGCCAUAAAACGCAAACAAGGCAAAAGCCAGAACAGCAGCAAAAGCGCGUGGCCCACACUCGCGUGUCUUUGGCCCGGGAAUGGAGCAGGCUGCUCCGGAGCACUAGCAUACUUUACGGGUUGCGAUCAAAGCUAAACAAGGCAUUGUUAAAGAUCUAUAAGAACUAGAUUCUGGUCGCUUAUGUAUGGCAUUUUUAAUUGCAAUUACUUAAAAAAGAGCGUUUAUGCUAUCAACACACAAUUUAAAUCUAAUUUCUUAGGCUCCUAAGCGUUUGAAGUAUCAUUUUACAACGCUCACUUAGAAGCCUAAAAGAGUAUAUUAGAGGUUGAAAUUCGUUCUUAUAUGAUACAAUCGGUCUCUUUUUACAAACAUUAAGUCAUAAUUUGGGACUUUCAGAAUCAUUUACAAAUUUGUUUCUAAUAAAAUUGCAAAGUAAUUGUUGAUCAUUUUACGUUUACGAUGCAUAGGAAUUUUCAUGGCCGAAAUGCUAAAUUCUACCGAUACUAGCCUAA